rnacentral:rRNA from 1 species
CGCUGGCGGCACGCCUAACACAUGCAAGUCGAACGAAGUAGCAAUACUUAGUGGCAGACGGGUGAGUAACAUGUAGGUAUCUACCCUUUGGCCUGGAAUAACACGAGGAAACUUGUGCUAAUACUGGAUAAGUCUUUACGGAGAAAGCUUUAUGCACCAUUGGAUGAGCCUGCACUUGAUUAGUUUGUUGGUGGGGUAAUGGCCUACCAAGACUGUGAUCAAUAGCUGAUUUGAGAGGAUGAUCAGCCACAUUGGGACUGAGACACGGCCCAAACUCCUACGGGAGGCAGCAGUGGGGAAUCUUGCACAAUGGAGGAAACUCUGAUGCAGCGAUGCCGCGUGAGUGAAGAAGGCCCUUGGGUUGUAAAGCUCUUUCGUCGGGGAAGAAAAUGACUGUACCCGAAUAAGAAGGUCCGGCUAACUUCGUGCCAGCAGCCGCGGUAAUACGAAGGGACCUAGCGUAGUUCGGAAUUACUGGGCUUAAAGAGUUCGUAGGUGGUUGAAAAAGUUGGUGGUGAAAUCCCAGAGCUUAACUCUGGAACUGCCAUCAAAACUUUUCAGCUAGAGUUUGAUAGAGGAAAGCAGAAUUUCUAGUGUAGAGGUGAAAUUCGUAGAUAUUAGAAAGAAUACCAAUUGCGAAGGCAGCUUUCUGGAUCAUUACUGACACUGAGGAACGAAAGCAUGGGUAGCGAAGAGGAUUAGAUACCCUCGUAGUCCAUGCCGUAAACGAUGUGUGUUAGACGUUGGAAAUUCAUUUUCAGUGUCGCAGCGAAAGCGAUAAACACACCGCCUGGGGAGUACGACCG